rnacentral:rRNA from 1 species
UACGUAGGGUGCAAGCGUUAUCCGGAAUUAUUGGGCGUAAAGAGCUCGUAGGCGGUUUGUCGCGUCUGCUGUGAAAACUGGAGGCUCAACCUCCAGCCUGCAGUGGGUACGGGCAGACUAGAGUGCGGUAGGGGAGAUUGGAAUUCCUGGUGUAGCGGUGGAAUGCGCAGAUAUCAGGAGGAACACCGAUGGCGAAGGCAGAUCUCUGGGCCGCAACUGACGCUGAGGAGCGAAAGCAUGGGGAGCGAACAGG